AUGGAAGGCGGCGUAGGAGCAGAAGUCGGCGAUGGCCAGCAAGGCAAGGCCGUCGCAAUGGCUGGCAGCACAACAGGCGACCAUGGCGGAUCUGGUCCUGGAGGCCCUCGCCAUUCUCAGCCAACCAGGUUCCGCCCUCGUUUGCUCUCGUGGGUCCUUCGGCGUCAGCGGAGCGGUGUUGGAGCCAAAAUUUCCAGGUUCCUCGAGCUGGACGAGGGAUCAGGGGAUGGGGGUGAAGCCAGUGUCUGGCAUGUAGGCGCUGUACCCUGCGGUGGAGCGGCUCAUGCGGCUGGGCAGGAUGGCACAACAGCAGGUGCUGGCCAAAAUGGUGCAGCAGCAGGUGCUGGGCAUGCUGGUCUUGGGGCUGACCAGGACGCCGUGGAGAAUGUAGAAUUGAUUGUGUGCAUC
rnacentral:rRNA from 1 species